ncrna:unclassified sequences ssNA-helicase RNA
UUGCCUAGGGUUAGUAUUACCCCUAGGCAACUUUUGUCGCAUGUCGCA